rnacentral:snRNA from 1 species
ACUCGAUCGUACCACAAACUCUU